rnacentral:misc_RNA from 1 species
CAGAUGAUGAUCGGAAUGUUGUAAGUGACACCCUGAAACGGCAUGGGGAUGGUGCCGUCGGCUUGAAGGAGGUUGACCGAGCGACCAUCGUUGUGGGUGAAAGUAGCGGUUUUGGGUUCGAGAGAAGGGUAGUUGGCGAUGAGGGAGAGAAGGUGCUGACGGAUUAGCCAUUUGGUGUCUUCGGUGUAAGGGAGGGAGGAGGGACCGCGUUGAGAGAGGACUGAGGAGAGGAA